rnacentral:rRNA from 1 species
GAAUCGAUCAUACCUUCUCUACACACACUUGUGCACCAACUGUAGGUUAACUCGAAAGAGUAAGACCUAUGUAUUUCUACAUCACACUUUUUAUAUCCGCAUGUCUAUAGAAUGAAUUUUAUAAAUCAUAUACAACUUUCAGCAACGGAUCUCUUGGUUCUCGCAUCGAUGAAGAACGCAGCGAAUUGCGAUAAGUAAUGUGAAUUGCAGAUUUUCAGUGAAUCAUCGAAUCUUUGAACGCACCUUGCGCUCCUUGGUAUUCCGAGGAGCAUGCCUGUUUGAGUGUCAUUCAAAUUCUCAACCAUGUCUUCAUUUAAGACAUUGAUUGGACUUGGAGGUUGCUGGCGGCCUUGAGCUAUCAGCUCUUCUGAAAUCCAUUAGCGAUCGGUUUCCAGUGCAAGUCAAUCUUUCGAUCGACAUGCCAACUAGCCUUUGACGUGAUAAUCAUCCGUCGUAGUGAAUUUUUGGUAUUGCAUCAAUACACUAUCGCUUCUAAUCAGACCGUACUUAGCUACUAGUCGGCCGUAAGGUCAGCGAACGCGGUACAUUAUCAUUAUGACCUGACCUCAAAUCAGGUAG